CCCAGCAACCACAUGGCAGCUCUGAAGUGCCUGAUGCCCUAUUCUGGUGAGCAGAUAGAUGUACGUCCAGACAAAGUACCCAUGUAGACAAAAUACAUAAAGAGGUCUUUAAGGAGAAAAGAACUCCAGGUCUUUUCCUUCUCUGUGUUUUCUAGGUUUCACAGAGUUGAGCAGCAGUGAAGGCAGCUAGAGAGCUCCUGAGGAGCAGGCUUGGCAGUUUCCUGGGUCAUGUCUGUGUUGUAUUCAGAGCUUGCCCCUCAGCCCUGUUGACUUCUGAGGACAGGCCUGCCCUCCUGCUUGUCAGCGAGAGCCCAGAGCACAUUUCAGUACUUUUAGGUAUUUAAUUAUCCCAAGUGUGCCGUGUGGAGACUGACCUCCAUCUUGGUGUGUCUCCUAGGGUGGAUGAGGGUGAGGAUGACUUGGAGGAAGAACAUAUAACCAAGAUUUAUUACUGCAGUCGGACACACUCACAGCUGGCCCAGUUUGUGCGUGAGGUGCAGAAGAGCCCUUUUGGCAAGGAGACGCGGCUAGUUUCCCUUGGGUCUAGGCAGACAUCUGUCAGUGUUCAGUAUCCAAGAUGUUCAGCUGAGCUCAGAAAUGCCUUGAGUGGGAGAAAUCCUCUACCCCAGGAACCAGUCCACCAUUGCCUAUCCAAGACCAGAUGGUCAGUCCUGCUAACCUACUACAAGUAACGUUAUAUACAAUGAGCAGGCUAGAGUUAGGAAGAUAAUAUGGAUGCACAUAAACACGUAUGGAUACAUAUAUCAAUGAAAGAGAGGCUGUGAAUUGGAAAGAUAGCAAGGAGCGUUUGGAGGGAAUAAAGGGUAGGAGAAAAAAAAUGCAGUUUCAAUCUCAAAGACAAACAGA
rnacentral:sRNA from 1 species